UACAGAGGGGGCAAGCGUUAUUCGGAAUUAUUGGGCGUAAAGGGCUCGUAGGUGGCCAACUAAGUCGGACGUGAAAUCCCUCAGCUUAACUGGGGAACUGCGUCCGAUACUGGAUGGCUUGAGUUUGGGAGAGGGAUGCGGAAUUCCAGGUGUAGCGGUGAAAUGCGUAGAUAUCUGGAGGAACACCGGUGGCGAAGGCGGCAUCCUGGACCAACACUGACACUGAGGAGCGAAAGCCAGGGGAGCAAACGGG
rnacentral:rRNA from 1 species